rnacentral:rRNA from 1 species
GGAAUUGUUCGCAAUGGGCGAAAGCCUGACGACGCAACGCCGCGUGGAGGAUGAAGACUUUCGGGUCGUAAACUCCUUUCGACCGAGAUGAACACCUGCCGGCCUAAUACGUCGGCAGGCUGACAGUAUCGAGGGAAGAAGCCCCGGCUAACUCCUGUCCCGCAGCCGCGGUAAUACGGGGGGGGCAAGCGUUGUUCGGAAGUACUGGGCGUAAAGGGUUCGUAGGUGGCCAACUAAGUCGGACGUGAAAUCCCUCGGCUCAACCGGGGAACUGCGUCUGAUACUGGAUGGCUCGAGUGCAGGAGAGGAACGCGGAAUUCCAGGUGUAGCGGUGAAAUGCGUAGAUAUCUGGAGGAACACCGGUGGCGAAGGCGGCGUUCUGGACUGCAACUGACACUGAGGAACGAAAGCCAGGGGAGCAA